AGUGAACGCUGGCGGUAGGCCUAACACAUGCAAGUCGAACGGCAGCACAGUAAGAGCUUGCUCUUACGGGUGGCGAGUGGCGGACGGGUGAGGAAUACAUCGGAAUCUACUUUUUCGUGGGGGAUAACGUAGGGAAACUUACGCUAAUACCGCAUACGACCUACGGGUGAAAGCAGGGGAUCUUCGGACCUUGCGCGAUUGAAUGAGCCGAUGUCGGAUUAGCUAGUUGGCGGGGUAAAGGCCCACCAAGGCGACGAUCCGUAGCUGGUCUGAGAGGAUGAUCAGCCACACUGGAACUGCGACACGGUCCAGCCUCCUACGGGAGGCAGCAGUGGGGAAUAUUGGACAAUGGGCGCAAGCCUGAUCCAGCCAUACCGCGUGGGUGAAGAAGGCCUUCGGGUUGUAAAGCCCUUUUGUUGGGAAAGAAAAGCAGCAGGUUAAUACCCCGCUGUUCUGACGGUACCCAAAGAAUAAGCACCGGCUAACUUCGUG
rnacentral:rRNA from 1 species